rnacentral:rRNA from 1 species
UUUUAUCAUGGCUCAGGACGAACGCUGGCGGCGUGCCUAAUACAUGCAAGUCGAGCGGACAGAUGGGAGCUUGCUCCCUGAUGUUAGCGGCGGACGGGUGAGUAACACGUGGGUAACCUGCCUGUAAGACUGGGAUAACUCCGGGAAACCGGGGCUAAUACCGGAUGCUUGUUUGAACCGCAUGGUUCAAACAUAAAAGGUGGCUUCGGCUACCACUUACAGAUGGACCCGCGGCGCAUUAGCUAGGUGGUGAGAGUAAUGGCUCACCAAGGCAACGAUGCGUAGCCGACCUGAGAGGGUGAUCGGCCACACUGACGAACUGAGACACGGCCCACACUCCUACGGGAGGCGGCAGUAUGGAAUCUUCCCCAAUGGACAAAAGUCUGACAGAGCAACGCCCCGUGAGUGAUGAAAGUUUUCGGAUCGUAAAGCUCUGUUGUUAUGGAAGAACACGUACCGUUCUAAUAUGGCGGUACCUUGACAGUACCUAACCACAAAGCCACGGCUAACUACAUGCCAGCAGCCGCGGUAAUACAUAUGUGUGAAGCGUUGUCCGGAAUUAUUGUGCGUAUAGGGGUCUCACGCGGUUUCUUAAUCUGAUGUGAGAGCCCCCCGGCUCACACGGGAGGGUGAUUUGUGAACUGUGGGAACAUGAGUGCGCAGAGAGAGUGGAAUUCCACGUGUAGCGCUGAAAUGCGCAUAGAUGUGGAGGAACACCACUGUCGAAGCGACUCUUCUUGUCUGUAACUGACACUCAGAAGCGCAAGCGUGGGGAGCGCACA